rnacentral:rRNA from 1 species
CUGUAAACGAUGUCGAUUGGAGGUUGUUCCCUGAGGAGUGGCUUCGGGAGCUAACGCGUUAAAUCGACCGCUGGGGAGUACGGCCGCAAGGUUAAAACUCAAAUGAAUUGACGGGGGCCCGCACAAGCGGUGGAGCAUGUGGUUUAAUUCGAUGCAACGCGAAGAACCUUACCUACUCUUGACAUCCAGAGAAUUUAGCAGAGAUGCUUUAGUGCCUUCGGGAACUCUGAGACAGGUGCUGCAUGGCUGUCGUCAGCUCGUGUUGUGAAAUGUCGGGUUAAGUCCCGCAACGAGCGCAACCCUUAUCCUUUGUUGCCAGCACGUUAUGGUGGGAACUCAAAGGAGACUGCCGGUGAUAAACCGGAGGAAGGUGGGGAUGACGUCAAGUCAUCAUGGCCCUUACGAGUAGGGCUACACACGUGCUACAAUGGCGUAUACAAAGAGAAGCGACCUCGCGAGAGCAAGCGGAACUCAUAAAGUACGUCGUAGUCCGGAUUGGAGUCUGCAACUCGACUCCAUGAAGUCGGAAUCGCUAGUAAUCGUAGAUCAGAAUGCUACGGUGAAUACGUUCCCGGGCCUUGUACACACCGCCCGUCACACCAUGGGAGUGGGUUGCAAAAGAAGUAGGUAGCUUAACCUUCGGGAGGGCGCUUACCACUUUGUGAUUCAUGACUGGGGUGAAGUCGUAACAAGGUAACCA